rnacentral:rRNA from 1 species
CCGAUGCAAACUACGAAUACCGAAGAAUGUUAUCACGGGAGACACACGGCGGGUGCUAACGUCCGUCGUGAAGAGGGAAACAACCCAGACCGCCAGCUAAGGUCCCAAAGUCAUGGUUAAGUGGGAAACGAUGUGGGAAGGCACAGACAGCCAGGAUGUUGGCUUAGAAGCAGCCAUCAUUUAAAGAAAGCGUAAUAGCUCACUGGUCGAGUCGGCCUGCGCGGAAGAUGUAACGGGGCUAAACCAUGCACCGAAGCUGCGGCAGCGACACUAUGUGUUGUUGGGUAGGGGAGCGUUCUGUAAGCCUGCGAAGGUGUGCUGUGAGGCAUGCUGGAGGUAUCAGAAGUGCGAAUGCUGACAUAAGUAACGAUAAAGCGGGUGAAAAGCCCGCUCGCCGGAAGACCAAAGGGUUCCUGUCCAACGUUAAUCGGGGCAGGGUGAGUCGACCCUAAGGCGAGGCCGAAAGGCGUAGUCGAUGGGAAACAGGUUAAUAUUCCUGUACUUGGUGUUACUGCGAAGGGGGGACGGAGAAGGCUAUGUUAGCCGGGCGACGGUUGUCCCGGUUUAAGCAUGUAGGCUG